ensembl:snRNA U6 U6 spliceosomal RNA
AUGCUCUCUUAGGCAACACAUAUACUAAAAUUAGAACAAUACAGAGAAGAUUAGCAUGGC